UUAUGUCCGCACUGGUGACGCCCCUGAUGAGUAUUUGUUCAAGGACAAAAAUGGUAACAAGCCUCUUCAAACUGGUAGAUACAUCUAUUCGGACUACAAGGAUUGCCUGAUUUUAGAAAUGCCUUACGGGAACUCGCAAGAAUGCAUGUUAUGGAUAUCUUGGGGAGUAAAGGACAACAUACCGAAAAUCUGCACAGAUCAAUACGAAGACAACUGCGAAGACUCAAAGCUCUCAUACGACGAAGCUACAUGCAGCCCCUUCUUUCAGCAAACUAA